rnacentral:misc_RNA from 1 species
GAUGAAGAACGCAGCGAAAUGCGAUAAGUAGUGUGAAUUGCAGAAUUCCGUGAAUCAUCGAAUCUUUGAACGCACAUUGCGCCUUCUGGUAUUCCGGAAGGCAUGCCUGUUCGAGAGUCAUUAACAACCGUUUCGAUCCCUUUCUUUCAGAAAUUACAAAGAGGAAAAGGGUUUGGUUAUGGUGGAGGAGGGAAAGGCAGCGUUUAGCCUGUAAAAAAAGAGGCUGUGUUCCGCCUCCCCCCCAAAAUUGUACAGGCGGUCGUGUGCGCCCACGCAUCGAGGUGUUGUAAAAGCUGCCACGGCACUUUUCACCUGUGCAGUGCGAGAUUGGCCAGCCGGUUUAAAAACCCCUCCAAACAAUCAAAGGUUGACCUCGGAUCAGGUAGGGAUACCCGCUGAACUUAAGCAUAUCAAUAAGCGGAGGA